rnacentral:misc_RNA from 1 species
GAAAUGCGAUAAGUAAUGUGAAUUGCAGAAUUCAGUGAAUCAUCGAAUCUUUGAACGCACCUUGCGCACCUUGGUAUUCCUUGGAGCAUGCCUGUUUGAGUAUCAUGAAAUCUUCAAAGUAAAUCUUUUGUUAACUCAAUUGGUUUCUACUUUGGUAUUGGAGGUCUUUGCAGCUUCACACCUGCUCCUCUUUGUUCAUUAGCUGGAUCUCAGUGUUAUGCUUGGUUCCACUCGGCGUGAUAAGUUAUCUAUCGCUGAGGACACUGUAAAAGGUGGCCAAGGUAAAUGCAGAUGAACCGCUUCUAAUAGUCCAUUGACUUGGACAAUACUUUUAUGAUCUGAUCUCAAAUCAGGUAGGACUACCCUCUGAACUUAAGC